AUUAACAGUUACCACUUAGCAUUUUUCUUUGUUGAUUCAAGAGUUAAAAGUUUUGACUCAAACUGGGUUAACUUCAUCUACUCCACUAUUAACCUUGUCACCCUCUGAUUAACUUUGUCAUAGCAAAAAAAUAUUAACUUGAUGAAACACUUUAUCUAAAGAAUCCUAGUAUGAAAGUCAAUCGGAAAAGGGGUGUGGAUGAGAGUGACGAUGAAUCUACAUUUCACAGAGGUGUAUUGGCGGUUUAAAAGAGGGGUUAGUUGAGACGGAACCACGGUGGGUUGAAAGCGAAGAACAAAGUUGCGACGAGAUCGAUUUCAAAUUCAUACUUCCAUUUUUUACUCUUCUUUCUUUUUUCUUCUUAUUUGAAGUUGUUCUUGAAAUAUUCUUGUGAAUGGAAGUGGUGGCGACUUUUGAUGCAUACAAAGGGUGGUGCACGACCAAGAGGAGGUGCAAAAAAUGGAAAAGUUGGAGUUGUUUGUUACAUGUUGAAAGGAGUGAUUUGGCUGCUACUUUAUGGUGUAUAGAGGGAUGAUUUACGAUGGCAAAAUGUGGCUACUGUAUUAUGGAAAAUCAACUUCCAUCCAUCUUUUCUUUUUGUUAAUUUGAAAAUGGAAAGAAUUGGAGUUACUCAGUGAAUGAGGUGCCGUGUGGAUG
rnacentral:lncRNA from 1 species